rnacentral:rRNA from 1 species
GACGAACGCUGGCGGCGUGCUUAACACAUGCAAGUCGUACGGUAAGGCCCUUUCGGGGGUCCACGAGUGGCGAACGGGUGAGUAACACGUGAGUAACCUGCCCACAACUUUGGGAUAACGCUAGGAAACUGGUGCUAAUACUGGAUAUGUGCUCCUGCUGCAUGGUGGGGGUUGGAAAGCUCCGGCGGUUGUGGAUGGACUCGCGGCCUAUCAGCUUGUUGGUGGGGUAGUGGCCUACCAAGGCGGCGACGGGUAGCCGGCCUGAGAGGGUGACCGGCCACAUUGGGACUGAGAUACGGCCCAGACGCCUACGGGAGGCAGCAGUGGGGAAUAUUGCACAAUGGGCGCAAGCCUGAUGCAGCAACGCCGCGUGCGGGAUGACGGCCUUCGGGUUGUAAACCGCUUUCAGCAGGGACGAAGCCUUUUGUGACGGUACCUGCAGAAGAAGCACCGGCUAACUACGUG